GGGGGCACGGGGGGCCUACGGGAGGCAGCAGUAAGGAAUAUUGGUCAAUGGACGCAAGUCUGAACCAGCCAUGCCGCGUGGAGGAUGAAGGUCCUCUGGAUUGUAAACUUCUUUUAUUUGGGGMGAAACAGYGGGWUGUACCKACMGUGACGUACCAUAGAUAGCCCAGUCCCC
rnacentral:rRNA from 1 species